ACCUAUAAGAGGUCCAGCCUGCCCAGUGACUUUGUUCAACGGCCGCGGUAUCCUAACCGUGCGAAGGUAGCGUAAUCACUUGUUCUUUAAAUGAGGACUAGUAUGAAUGGCAUCACGAAGGUUAUACUGUCUCCUUUCUCUAAUCAGUGAAACUAAUCUUCCCGUGAAGAAGCGGGAAUAGACCUAUAAGACGAGAAGACCCUAUGGAGCUUUAAACAAUAAUAACAAUUGCCCCCGAACACUAUCAAAUUUCAGAAAAACCACUACUAUCCGGGCAAUUUGAUUAUAAGUUUUAGGUUGGGGUGACCACGGAGAAAAAAAUAACCUCCGCAAUGAAUGGGGCUUCCCCCCCUUAGCCAAGGGCUACAACCCUAAGAGUUAAAAAAUUAACAUCUAUUGACCCAAUUUAUUUGAUCAAUGAACCAAGUUACCCUAGGGAUAACAGCGCAAUCCAUUUCAAGAGCUCCUAUCGACAAAUGGGUUUACGACCUCGAUGUUGGAUCAGGGUAUCCCAGUGGUGCAGCAGCUACUAACGGUUCGUUUGUUCAACGAUUAA
rnacentral:rRNA from 1 species